rnacentral:rRNA from 2 species
GGUGACCUCGAAUCAGGUAGGACUACCCGCUGAACUUAAGCAUAUCAAUAAGCGGA